rnacentral:rRNA from 1 species
UAGAGUUUGAUCAUGGCUCAGAUUGAACGCUGGCGGCAGGCCUAACACAUGCAAGUCGAGCGGCAGCGGGAAAGUAGCUUGCUACUUUUGCCGGCGAGCGGCGGACGGGUGAGUAAUGCCUGGGGAUCUGCCCAGUCGAGGGGGAUAACAGUUGGAAACGACUGCUAAUACCGCAUACGCCCUACGGGGGAAAGGAGGGGACCUUCGGGCCUUUCGCGAUUGGAUGAACCCAGGUGGGAUUAGCUAGUUGGUGGGGUAAUGGCUCACCAAGGCGACGAUCCCUAGCUGGUCUGAGAGGAUGAUCAGCCACACUGGAACUGAGACACGGUCCAGACUCCUACGGGAGGCAGCAGUGGGGAAUAUUGCACAAUGGGGGAAACCCUGAUGCAGCCAUGCCGCGUGUGUGAAGAAGGCCUUCGGGUUGUAAAGCACUUUCAGCGAGGAGGAAAGGUUGGUCGCUAAUAAC